rnacentral:rRNA from 1 species
GAUGAACGCUGGCGGCGUGCCUAAUACAUGCAAGUCGAGCGAACAGACGAGGAGCUUGCUCCUCUGACGUUAGCGGCGGACGGGUGAGUAACACGUGGAUAACCUACCUAUAAGACUGGGAUAACUUCGGGAAACCGGAGCUAAUACCGGAUAAUAUAUUGAACCGCAUGGUUCAAUAGUGAAAGACGGUUUUGCUGUCACUUAUAGAUGGAUCAGCGCCGCAUUAGCUAGUUGGUAAGGUAACGGCUUACCAAGGCAACGAUGCGUAGCAGACCUGAGAGGGUGAUCGGCCACACUGGAACUGAGACACGGUCCAGACUCCUACGGGAGGCAGCAGUAGGGAAUCUUCCGCAAUGGGCGAAAGCUUGACGGAGCAACGCCGCGUGAGUGAUGAAGGUCUUCGGAUCGUAAAACUCUGUUAUUAGGGAAGAACAAAUGUGUAAGUAACUAUGCACGUCUUGACGGUACCUAAUCAGAAAGCCACGGCUAACUACGUG